AUUGAACGCUGGCGGCAGGCCUAAUACAUGCAAGUCGAACGGUAACAUAAAAGAAGCUUGCUUCUUUGAUGACGAGUGGCGGACGGGUGAGUAAUAUUUGGGAAACUACCUGAUAGAGGGGGACAACAGUUGGAAACGACUGCUAAUACCGCAUAAAGCCUGAGGGUGAAAGCAGCAAUGCGCUAUCAGAUGUGCCCAAACGGGAUUAGCUAGUAGGUGAGGUAAAGGCUCACCUAGGCGACGAUCUCUAGCUGGUCUGAGAGGAUGAUCAGCCACAUUGGGACUGAGACACGGCCCAGACUCCUACGGGAGGCAGCAGUAGGGAAUAUUGGCACAAUGGAGGAAACUCUGAUGCAGCCAUGCCGCGUGUGUGAAG
rnacentral:rRNA from 1 species